UACGUAGGGGGCAAGCGUUGUCCGGAUUCAUUGGGCGUAAAGAGCGUGUAGGCGGCCAGAAAAGUCCGCUGUGAAAACUCGAGGCUCAACUUCGAGCUGUCGGUGGAAACUUUCUGGCUAGAGUCCGGAAGAGGAGAAUGGAAUUCCUGGUGUAGCGGUGAAAUGCGCAGAUAUCAGGAAGAACACCCGUGGCGAAGGCGGUUCUCUGGGACGAUACUGACGCUGAGACGCGAAAGCGUGGGGAGCGAACAGG
rnacentral:rRNA from 1 species